AUCCUAGUAGUUUAAUUGAAAACAUUACACUUUCAUUGUAAAAUUAGGAUUUUCCUCUAAGAUA
rnacentral:tRNA from 1 species